rnacentral:tRNA from 1 species
GGGGCUGUAGCUCAGUGGUAGAGCACUUGCCUAGCAUGUGUGAGGCACUGGAUUCGAUCCUCAGCACCA